AUUGAACGCUGGCGGCAGGCCUAACACAUGCAAGUCGAACGGUAACAGGAAGCAGCUUGCUGCUUUGCUGACGAGUGGCGGACGGGUGAGUAAUGUCUGGGGAUCUGCCUGAUGGAGGGGGAUAACUACUGGAAACGGUAGCUAAUACCGCAUAACGUCGCAAGACCAAAGAGGGGGACCUUCGGGCCUCUUGCCAUCAGAUGAACCCAGAUGGGAUUAGCUAGUAGGUGGGGUAACGGCUCACCUAGGCGACGAUCCCUAGCUGGUCUGAGAGGAUGACCAGCCACACUGGAACUGAGACACGGUCCAGACUCCUACGGGAGGCAGCAGUGGGGAAUAUUGCACAAUGGGCGCAAGCCUGAUGCAGCCAUGCCGCGUGUAUGAAGAAGGCCUUCGGGUUGUAAAGUACUUUCAGCGAGGAGGAAGGUGGUGAGUUUAAUACGCUCAUCAAUUAACGUUACUCGCAGAAGAAGCACCGGCUAACUCCGUGCCAGCAGCCGCCGUAA
rnacentral:rRNA from 1 species